rnacentral:lncRNA from 1 species
UGAAGAUUAAACAACAGAAACAAUAUCCAUUCUAGAUUUCUACAUUUUUAGAGCACUCGAGACAAACUGAAUGAAAGCGAAGCAAGGGCCAACAGCUAUGAACAACAACAAUACAGUUCAACAAGUCACUUGAACUCCCAGAAAAUCAACCCAAACCAGAGGGAAAAAAAAUCGAAACCCAUUUUAAUAUCUUGAACUUGAAGAGAUCCUUCAAUGAGAUUCUUUCCUCGAAUCUUUGCAUGUUUCUUUCAAAUGGCACUACUAAAUCACCAGAAUGGAAAAGGAGGAAGGGAAAAUAAAACUCUAACUUCUAGAGGAAUGUGUUUAACGGGUAUAAAUUGAAAAAAAAAA